ACGAACGCUGGCGGCGUGCCUAACACAUGCAAGUCGAGCGAGGAGAUUCCUUCGGGAUGAUCCUAGCGGCGGACGGGUGAGUAACAACGUGGGCAACCUGCCUCAUAGAGAGGAAUAGCCUUCCGAAAGGGAGAUUAAUACCUCAUAACAUUGCAGUUUCGCAUGAAACAGCAAUUAAAGGAGCAAUCCGCUAUGAGAUGGGCCCCGCGGCGCAUUAGCUAGUUGGUGAGGUAACGGCUCACCAAGGCGACGAUGCGUAGCCGACCUGAGAGGGUGAUCGGCCACAUUGGGACUGAGACACGGCCCAGACUCCUACGGGAGGCAGCAGUGGGGAAUAUUGCACAAUGGGGGAAACCCUGAUGCAAGCAACGCCGCGUGAGUGAUGACGGCCUUCGGGUUGUAAAGCUCUGUCUUCAGGGACGAUAAUGACGGUACCUGAGGAGGAAGCCACGGCUAACUACGUGCCAGCAGCGGC
rnacentral:rRNA from 1 species